CCUACGGGAGGCAGCAGUGAGGAAUAUUGGUCAAUGGGCGCGAGCCUGAACCAGCCAAGUCGCGUGAGGGAAGACGGCCCUACGGGUUGUAAACCUCUUUUGCCGGGGAGCAACGGGCGCCACGUGUGGCGCCACUGAGAGUACCCGGAGAAAAAGCAUCGGCAAACUCCGUGCCAGCAGCCGCGGUAAUACGGAGGACGCGAGGGUUAUCCGGAUUUAUUGGGUUUAAGGGGUGCGUAGGCGGAGCGUUAAGUCAGUGGUCAAAUUGAGGGGCUCAACCCCGUCCCGCCGUUGAAACUGGCGUUCUUGAGUGGAAGAGAAGUAUGCGGAAUGCGUGGUGUAGCGGUGAAAUGCAUAGAUAUCACGCAGAACCCCGAUUGCGAAGGCAGCAUGCCGGCUUCCGACUGACGCUGAUGCACGAAAGCGUGGGGAUCGAACAGGAUUAGAUACCCUGGUAGUC
rnacentral:rRNA from 1 species